GGUUUCCUCCAUUUUUUGAUGACAAUCCAUUCGGUAUAUAUCAGAAGAUUCUUGCUGGCAAAAUAGAUUUCCCGAGGCAUUUGGAUUUAUAUGUAAAAGACCUUAUUAAGAAGCUGCUUGUGGUUGACAGGACAAGACGAUUAGGAAAUAUGAAGAAUGGAGCAGAUGAUGUGAAGAGACAUCGAUGGUUCAGGUCUAUAGAUUGGGACGCUGUACCACAAAGGAGACUAAAGCCUCCCAUAGUACCAAAAGUAUCCAAUGAUGGGGAUACUUCCAAUUUUGAAGCUUAUCCUGAAGAUGACUGGAACAAGACUCCUCCGGUACCCCCUAAAGAUCUAGAAAUUUUCAAGAACUUCUGAAUGCAACAUCUACACUGGAUGAGAAACUGGAAGGAAAUUGAAGUGCUAAGAGCAAGUCUGAAGAAAAAUGGAGUUCAUACGUAAAUGAAGACUUUCUUUGUGGAUAAGAAUGAUACUGCAUUCAGAUAUGCGUAUUAGUAUAUAGUAAAUAUCUAAAGAGUUGGAGGCAGGCAACAAUAAUUUUUUGCUGUAAACAUUUGACGUUAGUUUAGUAAAUUGUAAUAUUGAUAGUCUACUCUGAAGUAGACUCACUAAAAUGGUAUAUUUUAGGAUUUUUUUUUUAACUUAUGGUUUAGAUAAGUUUCCUGCUAUUCCCAGAUCCUUUUGCAUAGUUAACUCAUAGACUUAAUUUUAUAAGUUUAUACUAAACUUGUGUAAUUAAAAGCACAAAUUAGUAUAUAUGUAUAUAAUGAAUACAAUACAACUAAAGCACAGGAACUGUGCAAAGAUGUAAAUUUUUGUAC